rnacentral:rRNA from 1 species
CCUCAAAUCAGGUAGGAUUACCCGCUGAACUUAAGCAUAUCAAUAAGCGGAGGAAAAGAAACUAACMAGGAUUCCCCUAGUAACUGCGAGUGAAGCGGGAAAAGCUCAAAUUUAAAAUCUGGCAGUGUUUCAUUGUCCGAGUUGUAAUCUAGAGAAGUGUUAUCCGCGUUGGACCGUGUACAAGUCUCCUGGGAUGGAGCAUCAUAGAGGGUGAGAAUCCCGUCUUUGACACGGACUACCAGUGCUUUGUGAUGCGCUCUCAAAGAGUCGAGUUGUUUGGGAAUGCAGCUCAAAAUGGGUGGUAAAUUCCAUCUAAAGCUAAAUAUUGGCGAGAGACCGAUAGCGAACAAGUACCGUGAGGGAAAAAUGAAAAGAACUUUGGAAAGAGAGUUAAACAGUACGUGAAAUUGCUGAAAGGGAAACGCUUGAAGUCAGUCGCGUUGUCCAGAAAUCAACCUUGCUUUUGCUAGGCGUACUUUCUGUUCAACGGGUCAGCAUCAAUUUUGACCGCUGGAAAAAGUUCAGAGGAAUGUGGCAUCUUCGGAUGUGUUAUAGCCUCGGUUCGUAUACAGCGAUUGGGAUUGAGGAACUCAGCACGCCGCAAGGCCGGGUUUCGACCACGUUCGUGCUUAGGAUGCUGGCAUAAU